CUUGGGCGAACUGCGAAUGGCUCAUUAAAACAGUUAUAGUUUAUUUGAUAGUCGAUUUUUACUACAUGGAUAACCGUGGUAAUUCUAUGGCUAAUACAUGCGCAAAUACUGUAUAAUCAUAUUUAUUGAUGAUUGUACAGUAGUGUUUAUUAGAUACAGAACCAACAGUGCGCCAUCACUUUUUAGUGGUGGUGUCAAAAGAGAAGGGUGAUUCAUAGUAACCGAACGGAUCGCAUCAUAUUAUAAUCAUUUCGGUGAUUGGCGAUAGAUCAUUCAAGUUUCUGACCUAUCAUCUUUCGACGGUAGUGUAUUGGACUACCGUGGCAGUGACGGGUAACGGGGAAUUAGGGUUCGAUUCCGGAGAGGGAGCCUGAGAAACGGCUACCACAUCUAAGGAAGGCAGCAGGCGCGCAAAUUACCCAAUCCUGACUCAGGGAGGUAGUGACAAGAAAUAACAACACUGGAAAUUGUAUUUCUAGUGAUUGGAAUGAUGGGAAUCCAAACCCCUUUCAGAGUAACAAUUGGAGGGCAAGUCUGGUGCCAGCAGCCGCGGUAAUUCCAGCUCCAAUAGCGUAUAUUAAAGUUGUUGCAGUUAAAAAGCUCGUAGUUGGAUAUCUGCUGGAAGCAAUCAGUCCGCCCUUUUCGUAAGGGUGUGCACUUGAUGAAUUCUGGCAUGAUUUCAUCCUAAUAAUAAUAUAUUAUUAUAUUAGGUUGAUUCCUAGUAUAAUAAUAUUUAUUAUUAUGGGGAUGACAGUUACUUUGAGAAAAUUAGAGUGUUUGAAGCAGGCUUUUGUUGCCUUGAAUACUGCAGCAUGGAAUAACAAUAUAGGAUUUCGGUUCUAUUAUUUUGUUGGUUUUUUCUGUAGGACUGAAAUAAUGAUUAAUAGGGACAGUUGGGGGCAUUCGUAUUUAACUGUCAGAGGUGAAAAUUCUUACAUUUGUUAAAGACGACUACUGCAAACCUUUUUCCAACA
rnacentral:rRNA from 1 species